rnacentral:misc_RNA from 1 species
UAUUGUAUUGCGUUAAACGCGGCAUACAUUCCAUGAGACUUCAUUACGGUGUGUGUGUGUGUAAAGAUAUAGAACCACAGCGCAGGAGAACAGAGUCCCCCAAGGCCAUAGAACUACAGGUGUGAGUGGAUGUGCAAACAGAGCGUGCACGUGCCCCCAUUUGAGGGCCAGCAACAACUCGUGUUGGCGAUUCGGUAAUGAUCCUUCCGCAGGUUCACCUACGGAAA